CCUUUGCUUUAACAUGGGAGUACCUGCUGUGCAAAAUGAAAGUAAGUGCUUCCAUGUUUCAGCGGAGG
rnacentral:pre_miRNA from 15 species